UACAGAGGGUGCAAGCGUUAAUCGGAGUUACUGGGCGUAAAGGGCGCGUAGGCGGUUAUAUAAGUGAGAUGUGAAAUCCCUGGGCUUAACCUAGGAACUGCAUCUUAUACUGUAUGACUGGAGUACUGUAGAGGGUAGUGGAAUUUCCGGUGUAGCGGUGAAAUGCGUAGAGAUCGGAAGGAACACCAGUGGCGAAGGCGGCUACCUGGACAGAUACUGACGCUGAGGCGCGAGAGCGUGGGGAGCAAACAGG
rnacentral:rRNA from 1 species